rnacentral:rRNA from 1 species
UACGAGGGGGGCUAGCGUUGUUCGGAAUUACUGGGCGUAAAGGGCGCGUAGGCGGUGCUGUAAGUCAGGCGUGAAAGGCCCGGGCUCAACCUGGGAACUGCGUUUGAUACUGCGGCGCUGGAAUGCAGGAGAGGAUGGCGGAAUUCCCAGUGUAGAGGUGAAAUUCGUAGAUAUUGGGAAGAACACCGGUGGCGAAGGCGGCCAUCUGGCCUGCAAUUGACGCUGAGGCGCGAAAGCGUGGGGAGCAAACAGG